GAAAAGGUAAGUUAUAUUAAACUUUUGGACUCAUACUCCGACUAAGGCUUAUACUAGAGUCUCUUUUUA
rnacentral:tRNA from 1 species